ACGAUCGUACGGUUGCGGGGAGUAAUAUCCACGAGGAAAGUCCGGGCUCCGCACGGCAGGAUGCCGCCUAACGGACGGUGAAGGUAACUUUAAGGAAAGUGCAACAGAAAAUAACCGCUCAUUUUAAGUCGUAUAAGCUUCGCGAUACUUCGUUUCUGUAAAACCUCAAAAACUUGAUGACCGAUAAGGUCUAUCUCGUUUUUUCGGUUUUACGAGCCUCGUCUCGCUCGUUUCUCCGACUUAAAAUCCCGCUUUAAAGGGAUAGCGUUUCGUCGCAAUGGGUAAGGAUGAAAAGGCAGGGUAAGAGCCUACCGGACUUCCGGAGACGGAAGUCGCCGUGUAAACCCCAUCCGGAGCAAGAUAGGGGCAACUCGUAAGACAGCCGGUCGGAGUUGCCCGCAAAACGUCGCUUGAGCUUGUCGGCAACGGCAAGCGUAGAUAGAUAACCGUAUUAAAUGACAGAACCCGGCUUACAGGUCGUCCCG
rnacentral:RNase_P_RNA from 1 species